GGAAUUCAGAGUUGGAUCAUGGUUCAGAACGAACGCUGGCGGCAAGCUUAACACAUGCAAGUCGAACGGACCGUACGCGCAGCUUGCUGCGUGUAUGGUUAGUGGCAGACGGGUGAGUAAUGCAUAGGAAUCUGCCUAGUAGUAUAGGAUAGCCACUAGAAAUGGUGGGUAAUACUGUAUAAUCCCUGCGGGGGAAAGAUUUAUCGCUACUAGAUGAGCCUAUGUCAGAUUAGCUAGUUGGUGGGGUAAUGGCCCACCAAGGCUGUGAUCUGUAGCUGGUCUGAGAGGAUGAUCAGCCACACUGGAACUGAGACACGGUCCAGACUCCUACGGGAGGCAGCAGUGGGGAAUAUUGGACAAUGGGCGCAAGCCUGAUCCAGCUAUGCCGCGUGAGUGAGGAAGGCCUUAGGGUUGUAAAACUCUUUCAGUAGGGAAGAUAAUGACGGUACCUACAGAAGAAGUCCCGGCAAACUCGGGAUCCCGACCCAUGAUGGAAUCCAGAGUUGGAUCCUGGG
rnacentral:rRNA from 1 species